AGACUCACCAGGGACUAGCUUCAGCUGCAUUCCAGAUAACACUGAAAAUAUGGCUGGAUUCUAGAUAUCACUGAAAAAUUCCAGAUAUCACUGGAACUGAAAAAUGCAAGGGAACAAGAACCGGCUAAUUUAGGAUGGAUUCAGUGCUGCUAAUACGGGAAUUCAACAGGAAGCAACUAAUUAAAGGGACAGUCAUCCAGAGAAGUCUCAAUAGCCCUUUGCUGGACCACACAUGAACAGCUGAUGCUGCAGUUGUGAUUUAAGUUAAAAAGAAUAGCCACAUAUCAGAUCUGAAAAAAGAUGGCACUGAAAACACUGGAUUGUAUCAGUUUGGCAACAAUGGUUCUGGAUUAUUUAUAAAAACUGAAUGAGUGAAAGACAUCAAUUCUAGAGAAUAGGAUUCGUGUAGACAGAGGUGCACUUAGGUAACUUUGGAGCCUGGACCUAAAGGCCUUUGGAGGCCUCCACUUGCUGGAGCCGCACCCCCCCCCCCAAGUCUAGCAUCAUCCCCCUAUUCUCAUCCCCCAUAUUUCUUUCCCCACUCCCCCCUCUGACUCUAAAGCACCCAGCACAGGUCAUAAUCACACUCAGCCACCUGGCUCAGUGUUGUCCAGCAGUGACCUCAUCACCCAGGACAGACCAAAGAAAAUUUGGAGGCCCCCAGGGGAUGUGGAGGCCCUGGACAUCGGCCCUGAAGUCCAGGGGUAAGAACACCACUGUGUGUAGAAGCAAUUUUAGACUUGUAUUGACUCUAUUCAAAAGUAUAUAGGACAAGGACAAACACUGAUCAAUACUCUAUACUCCAAAUGUCACAAUGCUGAACAGAAUAAACUUGAAUAACAUGCUGGAUUUAUUUUGAAUUCUGUCAUUAGCUUAAAAUGUCCAUUGUAUACAUUGACGGCAUGAAUGUCUUCCUCUGGCUAAUUUAACACCUGUUUUGUGCUAAAAUACAUUUGGGAUAUGUUAUAAUCAAAAUAUAAUUCAGUAAUAAUCGAUUUCUCUUAAUACUUCUCCUAAACCUGUAACUUACAUCAGGAUAUUUGUAUUUUAAUUCCAUGCUGCUGCUGUCUUUGUUCUUUUCUUACCCUUCCUGUUAUGCUAUUUCUCUGAUCUAAAUCACUCUCCUUGAAGUUACAACUACCACUGAGGAAAAAGAAUACAGGCACCAUGUUGCCUGUAGGUUUUACACAGAUAGGCUAACAGUAACUUCAGGGCAGGGGUAGAUCAGGGGAAUGGUGUGGGAAGAAAGAGUUAAACCCACUCUCCCUUCUGUUGCUUCCCCGAUCAAAUUAACAGCUCCCUGCAGUUGUUUUGAUGUCAAGGGAAAACAGUAGGGAGAUGUGAUUACAUCUGUUUUGGCUCUUAGGCAAAAGGACUAUGUACCACUUGGAUCAUUGCACUGGAAUUCUAAAUCAACUGAAUGUGUUUCACUGCUGCAGUGGUCUGGGUCCAUAUUACUUCAUCUAUUACAUAUGUUGUGAACCAGCAAUGCAAAAAACACAGAAACAGGCUGAUAGGGUGCAUGUAGGCCUGGAGGUGGCGUAUUCACACCUAAAGGCAUUUUGGCUAUCACUGUAGAGACACCUACACUGUAGUAAGCGACUAUAUUGCAACAAGUGGCUAUAUGACCAACCAGUUGCAAAGGUGGACUUGAUCCGCCUGCUUCAUAAAGCAUGCCUCUGUAGCUACAUCAGUGCAGCAAACUGCUCUCUGGUUAAAACAAAUGCACACAUCUGACAAACCAUCAGGUGCCUGAUUCUUAGCAGGAACAAUAGUAAAGGGUCAGUAGUAACAGAAAGGGGAAGAGGCACAGACAGCAGAUCAACUGUAGAUCAUCUACAGGUGCUGGCAGCAGAUCAUACUUGCAGCUCCACAGUGCAUUUCUGCUUGAGGCUGCCACCUCAUCUGUCUCAUGGAAGAUGCACCUGGCCACUGUGUUUAGCUCAGUUAUUUACAAAACUCUUGCGUUGUACCAAAUUAGUUAGCACAAUACACACACACACACACACACACACACACAAUGUAAUAAUAUAACUAGGGUUGCCAGUGCCCAACCAUCCAGAUUUGGACUGGAAUCUCCAGGAAUCAGCAUUAAUCUCCUGAUCACUACUGAAAGUAGUCCUGGAAAUUUACUAGCUUGAUAUCAUUCAAAAGAGUAGAGAAAUGCAGAGGGGAAAUAUGCAGGAAUAGUUACAGUCUGUUGACAACCCUACGUAUAACAAGCAACAACAUGGAAAAUUCAAAGCAUGUCACUAUAUAUGAAAUGUUGAAGUCAUAUUUUAAAGGUACUUUCAAGCAUUUUGUAACAUGAGAAACAACUGAAUUUUUUCCCCUCAUUUCAGAGUGUAUUAUUUCAACUGUUCAAGUAUAUAUAUAUAUGAAAUAUUACUCGCAGGGUGCAAUCCUGUUUACAAUCACUUUGGAACCAGCCUUAUAUUUUAUGGAAUUUAGUUUUAAAUAAAUACAGUGUGCAUAGGAGAGGGCUGUCGUCAGACUUAGCCUAUGUUGGUGCUUAGGUUCACCAAAUUUCUGCUAACAGAUGUGAAUUCAUCUGUCACAGACACAGUGGCAAAAUUCUAUUGUUCUGCAAUACAAGUUCGCUAAUAGUUAGAUCCAAUGUAUAGUUAUAUUAUUAAUAUGGCUAUGUUUAACAUUUUAUAUUGUUUUAGAUGUUGUGUUAUUGGUCAAAGACCGUAAUAAAGACUAAUUGACUGA